rnacentral:lncRNA from 1 species
CCUCACGGCCCUGCAGAGGGGGGCUGCACCAUCGCAGGGGAAAGCAGAGGCGCUCCCGCCCCGGCCGCACGCUGGUUGCACGGAGCUAGGGAGCCGGGGCUGGGGCUCAGGGCGGGGCCUGGUCGGGGUCGGGGGUGCUUGGAGCGCAUCCGAGUGGCACCGGGUCCGGCGCGUCCGGCUUGUGGGCUCAGCGUCUCGCGAGCCCCCGCCGUGCAGCAAUCAGGGCCAGGCGGGAGCCAAGUCUGGGUCUGAGCCUCGGCCGGUCAAGCUGGGAUCCAGGCCGCAUCUGGGGCUGAGCCCGGAGUCUGCAUCCAAGUCCCGCAGGACCUGGGCAUUCGUUUUAUGGAGAAGCAAAUCACACUUGCCUGAAGGGAAAGUUAUUGGGACUGUAGCGGUGCCUCCUGUGUCCCUAGCACUUCGCCCUGUAGAGCAACACUUCAAAACAGAAAAUGAAACUGGGCAGCAUCGCCAGGCAAACACUGGCUGCCGUUGUCGUGUUCCCUUCUGCAGCCCUCGGCUGAGAAAUUCAGCCCUAGAAUAGUGCAUACUUUCCGAUGCUGUAAGCAAGGGGCGGCCCACUGUGCUCUCCACCAGGAAAACCCCUGCUUGGGCUUAGUGACGGUGCCCAGCCAUGGCAACAGUGACAGAGCCCCACCGAAGCCUGCUUCCCUGGAGAGGCCGAUGAAGUCAUGCAGGCCCGAGCCCAGCUCCUAUGAGGGAGGCGGAUGGAAACCAGAGCCUGGCAAGGAUGUGUCAGCCGGAUGGCAGGUGGAGAGAUGCAGGCAUGGCGAGUUCAGGCAAAGUGCCAAAGCUCACCCCAGAAAGGUGGCCCAGGAUUUGAACUCGGAAGAGCCCGUGUCGCCCCUAUCUAGGUGACCACCAUGUUGGAAAAGUCUUCCCCUUAAACCAUGGCACCCUGGCCUCGCUUCAGAUCGUCCCACAGCGCUCUGCAGGUCUGGGCAGAUGAUGGUGAGGGUGCCUGGAUUCUCCAGCGAGCUGUGUCUUCAGGGAAAUGAAUCUACCUCCUCUGUUUAUCUAGCUCUCUGCCCUGAGGUGUGGUUCUCAGCUGCUUGUCACUGAGGGCAUAGGCUCCUGCCAGAGGGCUCUGCCAGGACCAGCACCAUGCCCUUCUGCCCAAGGGACAGUCCCAGUCAUGCCUGCUUCUCUCUGCAGGAAGCCAGUCCCCUUUAGGGACCAGCUGCAGCCCCCUGAGAGCCUCAGCUUCCUUCCCUUCAAGAUGAGAAGAGAAACCCCUGCACUCCAGGGUCUGGGGACGGGGGCAGGGGUGUCCCUCCAAGAUCAGGUGCUUCGACCUCCUGGGAUAGGGAAGGGAGAGAGCACAUGAGGAUCUGUGGCCUCAGUUUCCCUGACCUUUCUAGGUAUGACCAUGUGUAAGCUCCAGACUCCAAGUGGGAAGCCAGGAAGGAAGGGAGGGAGGUGGCAUCUUUCUGUCCUCGUGCUCAAGGAAAGGUCAGGUCCCAGGCCUCAGAUGUCACAGUGUUCCUCUAUGAUCAGAAGGAGCCCUACAGGUAUGACUAACCUGAGUGAGAGAGCACCCUGGAUCACCCAGGUGGCCCAAGGAAUGACGGUGGUCCUUAAAACCAGAGAAUUAGCUCCAGUUGUGGCUGGAGACAGAGCGAGGUGAUACUGCUGAUUUUGAAAACGGAGGGGACCGCAAACCCAGGGAUACAGGAGGCCCUGAACUGGAGCCUCCAGAAGGACCCAGCCCUGCUGACACCUUGGUGUUAGCCCAGUGAGACCCUCUUCAGCCACAUCAGACUUCAGACUUCCCUGACUAAAGUAAAUCAACACAUAAAUUUGGAGUAUGCUUAGCAUGCAUGAAACCCUGGGUUCCUUUCCCAGCAGCACAUUAAAAAAAUAAUAAAGUAAAUCUUCGUUGUUCCAGCCAUGUGACAG